UACGUAGGGUGCGAGCGUUAAUCGGAAUUACUGGGCGUAAAGCGUGCGCAGGCGGUUCGUUGUGUCGGCGGUGAAAUCCCCGGGCUCAACUGGAUGGGACCGUUGAAACUGGCGAACUGGAGUGUGGCAGAGGGGGGUGGAAUUCCGCGUGUAGCAGUGAAAUGCGUAGAGAUGCGGAGGAACACCGAUGGCGAAGGCAGCCCCCUGGGCCGCUCCUGACGCUGAGACGCGAAGGCCAGGGUAGCGAACGGG
rnacentral:rRNA from 1 species